rnacentral:lncRNA from 1 species
CUCGAUUUAAAUUACUUUUUGAUCAUAAAAGAAGGUACAAUAUCAUAAAAUCAAUUUUGUGACCCCAUCAAUCCCACAUUUUUUAUUCUAUCUUUGCGAAAUUUGCUGCCCUAAUGUAUAUUAACACCGGUUGUUAUCUACAGCUAGAUUUACACUAUUAAGAUUGUCGUAUGGGUAAUUGUGUUUUCAUUGUUGAUUCAGUGCUGUCUGGUGGACGCGAAUACCUGAAAUCUCCGUGUCAUCAUCAAACAUGGCUAUAUAUCUGGUAAUUCAAACACUUGUUUCUUCGCAUUAAAACAACUCUUUGUUAAUCUGAGCAUGGAACGAAUAUUUUAUAUCACGAACUAUAAAUAUAGAUACAAAAAAUGAAAAACUAAGCGAAAUUGUUU